CUUCCCCAGCCAAGCCCGGGCCUCUGGGCCAGGUGAGUUGGCAGCUUUCUUUCUUCAGCUCCUUGGCCUCUGGGGCUGAGGAGCGCUCUGAGCAGAGGGGUGACAGCAGGUGACCCGGUUUGUAUUCUCUUUUAUGCAUCUAUUUGUGAGUCCCUGCCCUGGAUCACCCCUUCCAGCGGCCACUCAGUGUCUGGCACCUUAGGCUGUGUGCUCUCCUGCUGAAGACGCACUGUUGCUCGGUGCGCCUGUGUUUUAUUUUAUGGACGUGACAGGUGCAUCACCGCUCUCGUGGCUUCUUCCCUUUCUUGCUGCUUACCAUAUGUUAAAGUGCACUGGUGCUGCUGAGUGUCAUUUUCAGAACCCCACAGUUGUCCAGGCAGCUACAACCCCAGCUGAUCGCAGUCCCACACUACCAUGGAUCUGGGAGGAACUUUCUCAGAGGGGAGGCCUUCACAGACAAACUAUGUGGGGUGCAGGCCCAGCAGGACAGAAGCUCCUGGGAAGCAGCCAUUUCCUUGCUGACAAAGCCCCUGGAGGAAAUGCUGACAUCAAUUCACAGCGGUAAAACAAUGAAGGGAUAAGUGUUUCCUGGCAAGGGAAGGGCUGCAGUGCAGCUGGAAGGGAACGGCGCGCUGCGGUCAAGGGCACGGGAGCACAGCCAACUGAGAGACGGCCAAGGAGACAACUGCCCACGUGACUGUCCCCAGGUGGUAAGGAUGCCCAUGUUCAACAAGGAAACUAAAUCAGAUGACCUGCAGCUGUUUUCCACACAUCUGCGUAUAUCUGCCUAUCCACUCAUUCAUCCACACAUUCAUCCAUCCCUCCAUCUUUUCACAUACAUAGCCAUGCAGUCAUUCAUUCGUCUGUACAUCCGUUUGUCCAUCCAUCCAGGUGUCCAUGUAUCUACCCAUCUAUUUGUGCAUCCAUCCGUCCACCCAUCCUUCCACCCAUCCAUCUAUCCAUCCAUCCACCCACCACUCAUUCAUCCAUCUAUCUACUCAUCUGUUUAGUUUGAACUGCCCCAUACACAAACUCUUUGAUAUGAGGAUCUGAAUUGGGAUAUACUGGAAUAUGAGGAGAGGAGUGGAGAGGUGACAAAGGGCAUGGAGAGAAGUUAACAGAGCACUGUUUUGUGCUAGUUACAGUGAUGGGAAAAUAUGGACUUAUGCCACUGGGCAACUCCAAAGAGUAUCCUAAUCAAUAGGUGAGGAACCUGAGGGCAUUUAUCUACCAAAUCCCUAAAUUGAAGGCUGUUUAGGGGGGAAUUAAAACUCUGACACUUCCAAUCUUGCCCUUGGACUGAACAAUCUAGAAAAGCAUUCACAAACAGAAAGCCACAGUGUUUUGCAAAACGUAGCUUUUGAAGCAUUAAGGUCAACGCUGAGAAAAGAGAGAGAACUUACAUGAUCCAUCCAUAUAGUCACUGGUUGUACACACAUCUCUGCAUCUUCCAUCCACCUAGCCAUGCACGACUCAUCCACUCAGCCACCACUCAUCCACUUGUGAUGGCUAAUUUUAUGUGUUCACUUAAUUAGCUUCUGAGAUGCACAGACAGCUGGUAAAACAUUACUUCUAAGAAUAUUUGUGAGAGCGUCAAUAGAAAAGAUCAGCGUCCGACUUGGCAGACCGAGUAAAGAACAUCCACCCUGAGCAGGGUGAAUAAGCAUCAUCCGAUUUGGAUCUGGGCUUAAUGAAACAAAAUAGUGGAGGAAAGGUAAAUUCUCUCCCCUUUUCUUCUAGGACCAAGAUAACUAUCUUCUGUCCUUGGCCAUCAGAGCUCCUGAUUUAGACUUGCACUGGAUUAUACCUCCACUUCUGUUUCUCCAGUUUGAACAGCGUAUUGUAGGACCCCUCAGCUCCCCUGUUGUACUUCUGUACAUCUCUCUAGCUAUAUUCAUAUCUAUUGCUGUAUUUCCUACUGGUUGUUUCUCUGGAGAACCCUACAAUACCAUUCUUCAUCUCUUCCUUUUUUCUAUCCUUCCAUGUAUCUUUCUAUCCAUCUUGUCUUUGUCUAAAUGUCUCAGAUUAGCUAUUUUGUCCACACAACAACUAAGGAACAAGAACUACAAUAAAAUUCCAGAAAAUCUCAGCAGCCAAAUCUCUAGGAAUUGGGACCCCUUCUUCCAAGCUUCCAAGGCCAGUCACAAAAAAACUUCAUGAUGUAGAACAUCCUCCAAGGAUCCAAUGGUACCAAACUGGAGGUCCCAUUGUUUGGGGUAUGUCCUAAGUUUCUGAAUAGCAUGCGCAUCAGAAAAGAUACAACAACUGUCAUUUGGGGGGAUUUUUGGUAUUUUCUGAACUUGGCAUCAGAGAUCUCUGUAGCAGUCAUGGUAUUUUGAAGUGAGACUUCUUGGAUCUUAAUGUAGGUUUUACCAUUUCUAGAUGUGUGAUCUUGAGCGUGUGCUUGGACCUCUGUAAGCCUCAGUUGGCAUAGCUGUGAAAAAGGAAUCAGAAGGCUGCUGCGAUUAGAAAAAGAAACCCACACAGGAGCACUUGGGACAGUGCCGGUUGUACAUAACAGGUGUUUGGACGGUGUUAGCAAGGAUGGUGACGGUGGUGAUGAUGACGACCAUGGCGGAGACAGUGGCAACCUGAUUAUGAUGGUAACGAUGACAACAGUGAUGAUGAAGAAUAGAGAUGAUGACAGGUGUACGAUGAUGAUAAUGAUGUUUAUGGUAAUAAUGAAGCUGCUGGUGGCUGCUGCUGCUGGUGAUGAUGACUCUGACAGGGAUGGUGAUGGUGAUGGUUUCCUAUUUGACUACUGAUGCUCUGAUGGAGGGAAUGCUCAGUAAGAAGACGUCUCCUUCCAUCCACAGAAGGGAUGUGUCAAGGCUCGGGGACAGAGGGCUUGCCUGGCUCUGUGACUCUAAUCCUAUUUCAAAUGCUUAGCCCAGGGUAAAUAGUCACUCACAUCUUUGUCAGACCAUGUAAUUAAAAAGAAUUCAGAGAGAUGGGGAUACAUUUGGCAUUCUAAUUUUCAAAUUGAUUCCUGCCGUGCCUCGAGGACCGAACAAGCCUCUGCUGGACUCAGGACAUAUGCGGAUCUGGAGACAGAGCUUGGACGCGGAUCCCAACAGGACGUUCCAGGGACCUCAGUCCUCUUACUUGGUGCCCUGUGGCCCCGAGACCGGCUGGAGACUCCACCACAAGGCUCUCCAGGUGCUGAUACUUGCUCACAGCCUUUCCCUCAGGGGCCCACCCUGAAUUCAAGGCGGACACGUGUCUGGGCAUUUCUGUCCAGGAGCUCCUUGUGUGGGAGGACACCAGGAGCUACUCAGCCAGAAAGCCUUGGGGUCAGACUCUCCAGGUAGGUCUCAGCUGUACCCAGAACUGGGUGACCUGGGGAGCGCACAGUUUUUCUAAGCCUCAGUUUCCUCAAAUAGAAAUUGAAGGUAAUCUUGGUAAGUGACUCCCAAGGUUCCUUGUGAGGAAAUGAGUUAGUGCCUGUGAAGUGCCGUGGGCCACGUGCUCACUAAAUGAGACUGAAUAAGUAAAUGAGUGCCUCUCUGGGCUCUCACAGAAGUGUAAGGGUAGAUCAGUAAUCUCACUCACUUUAUUUCUUUAAUUUUAACUUUUAUCAGUAUAAGUUUGCGUACAGAAUGAUCAUACUCAUUGCGGGGAGUUGGUACACGUACAUAACACACCCUAAUUAUUUUUUUUUAUCCCUUUCCUGCCCCUUCCCUCCUCCUCCCUGCCUCUCAUGGUCUCUUUGCCUUUUGCAAAGGAUCGGUCUCCCUGCUUUCCAUUGUCUAUCUUUUACUUUGAAUGAGAGGAACUUAGUAACCCAUUCACUUGCUCAUCUAUUUAUUCCUGCACUCAUUCAGCCCAUGCUGGGACUGGUUGCUCCCCCCAUCCUACAUGUUAGGGGACACAGCUGAGAUCUCAUGGAGCCACUGCCUGGGAGGACAGGCAGGUAGCACACAGCUAGUGGGAAUUCAGGGAGUAAGACUUUGCCCUGUGGGUGCCGGAGGCAGCGCCUGGAGCAGCCUGGGGGUGUAGGAGAAAGCAAGGGAGGCUCCAGCGGGGAGUGGGGGGCAGUGUCUGAGCCGACUGGGCAGAGCACUCGGGCUGGGUGUUGAAAGGAGAUGUGGGCUCCAGGCCAAGAACUCCGCAGGCAACAGUAUCUGGGAAUGAGGUACCACAGUAACCCUGGGUGUGAGUGGACAUCAGUGGACGAAGCUCAGUCCCUCCCUUCGGGGCUCCCAAAGGAGUAAAUCAGAAGUGUUUAGGGCUUUGCUUGGUAGCUAAAGUCAUUUAAGUGAGCUGAUGUGUGAGUAUUCCCGUCACACACAUGAAAGGAUGGGUGUGUGAAGUAACACACGUGCUCCUUAGCUCCAUUUAGCCAUUCUAUAAUGUCUAUGGAUUUCACAACAUGCUGCACAGGAUAAAUAUGAUUUACAUUUCUCCCAGCUUCUUGUUGCUGUUACCAAAUACCUAAGAAAAACAACUUAAAGGGGUGAAGGUUUCUUCUGACUCCUGGCUUCAAAGGUUUUGGUCCAUGGUCAACUCCACUGCUUCUUGCCUGCAGGUACAAGGGUGUGGUGGAAGAAAGCUGCUCAUCUCCUGACAGAAAGGAAGCGGAGAAGGUGAGGGAGCCUGAGAGGAAGGGGCUGGGUAGCAGACACAGUCUCCAGCAUCAUGCCCCUAUGAGCUAUUCCCUCCACACAAGCCCCGCCUCCUGUUUCCAUCUCUCCCCAAUAACGCUGUCAAAUUACCAUCUCGUCAAUAAAUCAGUCCACUGAGAAAGAGCUCCCACUGUGUCUGUGGAUACCCGCAGACACACCCAGAGUGUGGUGUAUGAAUUCCCUAGGUAUUCUGCAGCCAACCGACUUGACAAUCAAGAUCAGCCAUCGCAGUCCAUUUAAAAAUCAAUUAAUUAAGUAUCAAAAGUGUGGACGUUCAGGGAAAUACUUUCUGGUUGUGGAGAGAAAAUUGACAAAAACCUUGAAGUGAAAUAAACCGUACAGGCUUAUUUACCGGUAAGAACUCACUUGAACUUUCCCAAGUUCCUACAGACAGGUUUAGAAGAUAGUCACAGGACCCGUCCCACCCCAGCCAUCAUCUGCUGGGAGAUUUGCUCCCCCUGUGCUCUCACUGCCCUUCCUGGCUCACUCAGGCCCAGCCUCCAUGCCUUGCCUCAGCUGAAGCACACCUUGCCCUCCCCACUCCCCUGAAUUCCUUAUCCAAGAAGUUCUCUGGAUUAAUCUAAUGGCUUGUCCGCACAUGACAGAAUCCCACCUCCGACACUGCCACCGCUAACCAGCAGAUCAUGGAGUAGCUAAC
ensembl:lincRNA